UACUACAAAUUUUUGAGAGCCCCAACCACAAUAUUUAUUAAUUCAAUAAACACAACAUAAUAUAAAUACAGAGAGACAUUCACUUUUUCAGCCGCUACCUUUGAAUUCUAGAGUGUUCUCCACUUCUCCCAAAAUUCUCUCAAAAUUCUCUCUCAUUAGAUCCGCCGUUCUCACUUUGCAGAUCCAACCAUCCAUACAUCUUCUACAAUUCAAGUCUUCUCCACAAGCCACGCAGCUGCAACCGCUCCACGCGUCGUCACCUCCCUUCUCGACGACGAUAAAUGCGCCGCCGUUUUCCUCUGCACAGCCCGCAGCCGCCGCCGUCCGGUUUCAUAUGAUAUAACCUUAGAGGCGGGCUCCUCCACCACCGUACGAAGAUGUGGUGGCAUUGCCUCGUUAGCGCCUCCCUCAACAACAAUAAAUUCGCUGCCGCCUCCCUCUGCACAGCCCGUAUCCAGCCGCCGCCGUCCGGGUUUCAAACGACGGCGUCGCCCUUCAGAUCUCGGCCUUCUCCCUCAUCUGCAUAAGAUCUAAUUUUUUUUUCGUUUAUUAGUGUUGCGUUUUUUAUUUUUAUUUUUUGUUUUGUUUUUAUAGCAUCAUUUUUGUAGAUCUGAAUAUCAUUUGAAAAGAAAAGUUUUUUUUUUUUUUUUUUUUUUUUUUUGCAGAUAGCUUUUUUUUAAUACCAUGGAGUAUAAUUUAGCAUAUGUAUUAGUUUUUUCGUUUUUGAGUUGUUUAUUUAUUUUUUGUGUUUAUGUUAUUAUUUUGCUAGAUCUAUGGAUAUCUGCACAAAUGGCUUACAAUGUAAUUAAAUAUGUGUACUCUUAGCUGGUGUUUCUUUGGUGCUGUUCUUCUGGCUGGUGUUUGUUUCUUUGGUGCUCUUAUGUAGGUGAUAUGUCUUUUAUUUUGGUUUCUGUUGUUUUGGAGCUAAUUUGAGUUAACUUGCAGAUUAAUGUUACCCUCCCUCACGUCACUCCUCUCCCUUCACCUUUUCUACGCAUUCUCAGUCUCGCCAUUGUUUAUCAGAUUUGAGGUUCUUUGCUCCUUUGAAAGAUUGAGUGUUGAUCUGCCGAGAAAAUUCAUAAAUAUUAGAAUAAUCGAGAAUCAUAAAAACAUACAAAAGAAUUAGAAUAACUAAGAUUAAAUAGAGAAAGUUUGCAGGAAAAGGAAAGUACCACAUAAAAACACAAAAAAGAAUUAGAAUAACCAAGAGAGAAAAGUUUGCAGGAAAGAACAACACAAAAACAUAAAAAAAAAACCUACAAAAGAAUUAGAAUAAAAGAUUACAGAAUGAAAGAAUGAAAGUUCCUGAAAUGAACUUUCAUUUUAGGAACUAUUUGAAUUUCAUAUGUUAGUUUAGGCGCUAUUUUUUGGCAUCAACAUUAAUUGAUGUAGCAGGAAUUGAUGUAGCUGUUCCAGCUGUAUACAACACAUAAUGACAGUUUUUACUGCAAUUUCACAUGCAAAAAGUAAAACAAAAAAGGACUAAAUAGUACUCCAUCCGUCCCAAUAUUCAAGUCCCGUAUUCCUUUUUGGGCCGUCCCAAUAUUCAAGUCCCCUUUCCUUUUUUAGCAUUAAUUAGAAUACAAUUAAUAGAUUUAAUUAUGUCUCUCUCUCUCCUCUCACAAACCAAACCCACCUGCCCCUCUCUCUCUCUCUCCUCACUUCUCUCUUCUCUCUCAAAUCGUCUAUCAUCUCCCCCCCUCUCUCCUCUUCUUCUUUCACCACCUCCACCUUCCACCGCCUCCACCAUCUUCCACCUUCCACCGCCUCGCGCCUCUGUCGCCAUCCUCUUGCACCGCCUCCAACGCCACCAUUGCAAACCCUAGAUUUCCCUCCGCCAUCUUCUUCCCCUGCCUCGCCGCCCAUUUUCCAGCGAGCAGGGCUCUGCCCUCUCCUGGCGACGGCAAGGCGCCGCCGCCUCCAAUCUCUCCACUGCCUCCACCGCCUCUCAGCAAGAAUAAGGGCGGCGACUCGCCGGCCCCUCAACAACGGCGGCUGCGAAUCCAGGUGGAGUGACGAAGGUGAAGCUCCUGCUGCCUUGCUGGAAAUCGAGCACAGCAGCGGCGGUUUGCGGAAAGAGGUGUUGUUGUGUUGGCUUGUGCAGUUGGUGUUGAUGUGUGAGCGUCAAUCGGGGGAGAGAGGUGAAUCGAAGCUUGAGGGGCGGAGGAGCGUGAAUCGAAGCUUGAGGAGCGUGAAUCGAAGCUUCGGGAGAGAGGUGAAUUGAAGCUUGAGGAGCGUCAGUGCGGACGCCGGAAAUCGAAGCUUGAGGGGCAGAUUCAGAGAUCUAGAGUUUCAGUGUGAUUUAGAGAGAUGAAGGUUAGGAGAAAGGGGGAGGCGAUUGGCGGCUUUGCUAACCGCUGCUGCUGCCGGAAAUCGAAGCUUGUUGUGUUGGCCUUGCUAACCGCUGCGGCUGCCGGAUUUCAGAGGGAGGCUGGCGGCGGAGUUGCCGGAGGAGGCGGCUCUCUCCUUAGCGAUUUAGCGAUUGAGUGUAUGUGUGUGGGUGUUAAUUAAGAAAUAAAAUAAUACUAAUUAAAACACUAAUUAUGUGGUCCCUACUGUUUUUACAUCUACUUUAACUCUUCUAAAUAUCCGUGUCCAAAAGAAAGGGGACUUCAUUAUUAGGACGGAGGGAGUAGAAGAUACGGACAUGCUCAAAUGCCAUCAGACAGAACAAUUAUAUAUUGGAU